rnacentral:lncRNA from 1 species
GCUUGCCCGCCUUGCCUCCGAGAUCAACUCCUACAGCAAGAACCUGCUCUCUGUCGGCGCCCCCGAAGGCCCAGAUCCAAGGGAGGUGGAGAUGUACCUGGAGGAGAUUCUGGAACUGACCCAGCUCGGGGAGGAUUACACUGAAUUCAUGAUAUCCAAGAUCAGGGGACUGGGUUCCGUCGAUCCUGAGCUUGGGCCUAGGGCCACCAAGGCCUUCAGGAGUGGGAGCUUCAACAGAGUGGUGCAGGAUCUUACUGGUUUCUAUGUGAUCCUGGAGGAGUUCUUCAUGGUCGAGAAUGUCAGGAAGGCUAUCACAAUCGAUGAGCACGUGCCCGACAGCCUCACGACCUCAAUGGUGGACGAUGUGUUCUAUGUGCUGCAGAGCUGCUGCAGGAGGGCUAUAUCGACCUCCAGUAUCAAUUCAGUGUUUGCGGUGCUGAGUGGGGCGAUGAACCUGCUGAGCAAUGAGUACCAGGAAGCACUGCAGCAGAA